AUUGAAAUGAUUCUAUAUUCUAGAUUUUAGGCUUGAGAGGCAUUCUAUGCAGUUGAUGCGUAGAUACAAUCGUUGGAUAAAGUUGUAAUUGACUGGGGAAAGAAAGCUUGGACUAGCCAGAUCGAAGGUUUUAUUGUCAGUGAAAUAAUGCAAUGUUAGGGAACUGGUCACCAUUAUUUUAUUGUUGUUGUUAGUAAGAUAUAUACUGUAUUAUAGCGUAUGUGUUUGUUAUUUUAAAUUCACACCUAUUAGUUAAUACAUCUUUCCUAGGGAACUCUUGGCUUACCCGUCCUCUAGCAAAGCUACCAUCUUGGUCCUGUUUGGUUGGACGUUCCUCUAAUCUGACUGACCAUGCAGGUAACCUUGAGCUCGUACACGUACAUUAAUCCUAAUUUCUUGCACAAGUGACUGAUUUGCAAUUUGAACUGCUGAAACAUUUCUUGUCUCUUGGAUAAGCAUGGUUGGUCAGAUAAGCGGUGCCUCUCAUGGGCUGAGGAUAAGCUAACCGCUGCUCUGGAAAGGUGUAUUCACUUAUAAGCUAGCAUUACAAAAAAAAUAAACAAACAUAGUCUAUAAUAUAUUUCAUGUUUUAUUUACAGUAAUUGUAUAAAAUAGUGGUGGUUUUCCUCUAAAUUGAUCCCCU